AUGACGCCUUCGUGGGACCCCGGCANNNNNNNNNNCCCCCCAUUUCCUCCCAUUUCGGGUCGCCACCCCACCCAGCCCCGGCGGCCCCGCCACCGCUUCCUCUUCGCCGCCGGCAUAAAACCGCGCUGCCCCGCGGCCCCCGUCCUUCGUCCUCAGCGCCGGGAGAGCGGCCGCAGCCCGCGGGGACCAGGCAGGAGGAAGGAGAAGGGCUCGCCAAGGAAGUGGGGAAAUUGCGGGUUCCUUGGUGACGGCGAGGGCGGAGGGGAUGGCGAGCGGGAGGAGGCUCUUGUGCAACGCCGGCUCCUUGGGGGGCCGCUGGCCCCGUGGAAGAGCGGCUCUGUAGGGGCAGAUGGAGAAAGGUGGCUCUGUAGGGUUGGAAGGGGAAGGGUAUUUCUAUAGGGUUGGAUUGAGGAGAACAUCUCUAGGGUUGGGUGGGGAAGGGCGUCUCUUUGCCCUCAACCCCCUCCUCUACGUGCUGUUGGGCCGGGGGCGCGCCCCCUCCCUUGGGGGGCGCCUGGCGUGGGUGCUGCGGGGCGGGGACCCCCCCGGUGACCCCAGUCCUUGUACCACCGAGGAUGUGGUGUAGAGGGCAAUAAAGGGUGGUUGUGAGCUGGGGGGGGUGUUCCUGAUGGGUGGGGGGGUUGGNNNNNNNNNNNNNNNNNNNNNNNNNNNAGGGCAUCUCUGUAGGGUUGGGUGGGGAAGGGUAUUUUUGUAGGGUUGGAAGGGGAAGGGCAUCUCCGUAGGGUUGGGUUGAGGAGGACAUCUCUAGGGUUGGGUGGGGAAGGGCAUCUUUGUAGGGUUGGAUUGGGGAGGACAUUUCCAUAGGAUUGGAAGGGGAAGGGCAUCUCUGUAGGGUUGGGUGGGGAAGGGUAUUUUUGUAGGGUUGGAUGGGGAAGGGCAUCUCUUUAGGGUUGGGUUGAGAAGGACAUCUCUGUAGGGUUGGAUGGGGAAGGGCAUCUUUGUAGGGUUGGAUUGGGGAGGACAUUUCCAUAGGAUUGGAAGGGGAAGGGCAUCUCUGUAGGGUUGGAUGGGAGAGGACAACUCUAUAGGAUUGGAAGGGGAAGGGUAUUUCUGUAGGGUGGGGAAGGGCAACUCCGUAGGGUUGGAAGGGCAUCUCUGUAGGGUUGGGUUGAGGACAUCUCUAGGGUUGGGUGGGGAAGGGCAUCUUUGUAGGGUUGGAAGGGCAGCUCUAUAGGGUUGGAAGGGGAAGGAUAUUUCUGUAGGGGUGGAAGGGCAUCUCCAUAGGGUUGGAUGGGGGAGGACAGCUCUAUAGGAUUGGAAGGGGAAGGGUAUUUCUGCAGGGUGGGGAAGGGCAACUCCGUAGGGUUGGAAGGGCAUCUCUAUAGGGUUGGAUUGGGGAGGACAUCUCUGUAGGGUUGGGUGGGGAAGGGCAUCUCUGUAGGGUUGGGUGGGGAAGGGCAUCUCUGUAGGGUUGGAAGGGGAAGGGCAUCUCUGUAGGGUUGGGUUGAGGAGGAUAUCUCUAGAGUUGGGUGGGGAAGGGUAUUUCUGUAGGAUUGGAAGGGCAUCUUUAUAGGGUUGGGUGGGGAAGGGCAGCUCUAUAGGGUUGGAAGGGGAAGGGUAUUUCUGUAGGGUUGGAAGAGCAUCUUUGUAGGGUUGGAAGGGGAAGGGCAGCUCCUGGGUCCUCCCCGCGUGGGCGGAGAGGUCCCUUGGUUGGAGGAGGGCGUGAAGAUGAGGGGUUGGGGUUGGGGUUGG
rnacentral:lncRNA from 1 species